UUUGAAGAUCAAGGACGCUUUUUGUUAAGUAUGUCACUUAACAAGGCGUGGUCGCAGCAGUUCGUAUAUAAGCCCACUAAGGACACCUCAGGAGUAUCACUUGUACGAGCAAGUAACUCCAAAAAUGUUCUUCAGACUGCUCGCUUUCUUCGCCCUGGUGGCUGUGGCCUUCGCCAACCCCAAACCUGAGCCGCAGUUGCUGAGCUAUUCCGCCCCGGUCGCUCCCGUCGCGUACUCGGCAUACUCCCCGGUCGCAUACUCCGCGCCCUACGCUGCCUAUCCUUAUGGUUACUCUGCUUACUACGUACGCUAAUACAAAUGACUUCUCACUGCGCUUCAACUGGCCUUUCGAUAUGCUUAAUGAUUUAAUAUACGUUUGAACAGUA